GCGGCCGUGGCGGAACGGCAGACGCGCCGGCCUUAGGAGCCGGUGCCAUCAAGGCGUGGGGGUUCAAGUCCCUUCGGCCGCACCA
rnacentral:tRNA from 1 species